GUGCAGCCUGUCUGUGGGUGAGGUGAGCUGAGGUGAGGGGUGCAGCCUUCUGUGGGGUGACGUGAGCUGAGGUGAGCUGAGGUGAGGGGUGCAGCCUGACUGUGGGUGAGGUGAGCUGAGGUGAGGGGUGCAGCCUGUCUGUGGGUGAGGUGAGCUGAGGUGAGGGGUGCAGCCUGACUGUGGGUGAGGUGAGCUGAGGUGAGGGGUGCAGCCUGACUGUGGGUGAGGUGAGCUGAGGUGAGGGCUGCAGCCUGACUGUGUGGUGACGGCACUUCCUUUCCUGCCCAGAUGGUCACUGUCCCCUGGGUCCCUGUGUGGGUCUGACCCUGGUACCUGGCCUGCUGUCAGCAGCUCUGACAGGAAAUCGGGAGCAGGGACAGGAGGUCAGAGUCGUGCGGUUUGCGGCCACCCCAGGCUGGCUAAGUGCAGG